CAACAAACAUGAUUAACAACCCUACAAUAUAGAUGGAAGGAUUCUGUACAAAACACAUUUGGUCAACAACAAUACAUUAUGUUAUUAGUAGAUGGCAUCUUGAAAUUGCUGGCGGUCAAGAAGAACCUUGAAAUUGGCGGUUAAUAAAGUGGAACCUUGAAAUAGAUUGUUGUAAAGAGGAACCUUUAAGCAGAUGGUGGUAGCCAAUCUUUGCCCGCAUAGUCCAGACAUGUCUCCAAGUCAAGAAUACAAGAUUGUGUAAGAUGGACGAAACAUGCUUUGUGUGUCAGCUGCCGUUUGGGGACCAGCCUGUGGUAACACUCUGGGAUAAAGGGAGUGAGAGUGUUAACAGAGCGAGUUUACAUCGAGGAACUCAAAUAAAAGCAGAACUGGGACAGUGUGUACAUGUAAAUUGUAGACGUGACUAUAUACACAAACGAAAUAUUAAAACAAAUAUGGACAAUAACAACAACUAUGUGUCUUCUUCUAGUGUCACUCACAGGUCUGAAAAUAGUUUUGAAUUUAAAACCAAAUGCAUGUUUUGUCAAACAAAUGUCAAAUUCAAUAAUAAAAAACGUGGCCCUGAUGUUUUCUCUCAGAGCACGUUUAACUUUCAAGGAAUUUGUAGAGAAUAAAUGUAUGGAACGGAAUGAUGACAGGGUUGAUGCCGUGUUUGGUAGGCUGUCAGCAAUUAUAGACCUGCCAGCUGCCGAAGCUCGCUACCAUCAAACAUGUAAUGUUAACUUCAGGACAGAUCGCCAAAUCCCAAAGCAGUUUAAGUCAUCAAAUCAGACUCUACACAGUCCAGGUAGGCCCGAAAAAGCUUCAGAAGCCUUUAAUUUCGCCAUGAAGUACAUAGAAGAAAAUGCCGAUGGUAAGACAUUAACAGUAAGUGAUAUAGUUGAUAUUUUGACCCAGAAAUGUUAUGAAGAUUCUGCCUACUCUGUAAAACAUAUGAAAAGAAAACUACAGGAUUAUUUUGGUGAUGCAAUUGUAAUAAAUUCUUUAGAUAGAAAGCAGGACAUUAUCACUCUGAAAGAAACGACUGCAACUGUUAUACAUUCUUUCGCUAAAAUUAAACGUGAAACACAGAUGAAAAUGAAAUGGCACGUAUUAUUAAAAAAAUAUAUAAAUAACAGCUAAACUUAUUGAGGCUGAUAUUGAUAAAGCAGAGGCUCACAAAGACUUGUAUCCUUCUCCUGAUAUCAUUGGUGUGGCGAGUGCCGGGCUGCAAGCUGCUCAAAUGGACAGUCUAAAAUUGACAGGUGUUAGAUGAUGACAGUGAUACUGACGAAGAUGACAGUAAUGAAGUUUAAUUUGUAGCUCAAGUACUAGUACAUAUAAUUAUGUAAACAUCGCGAUUAUAACAGUCGAUUACAGUUUUAUAUAAAAAAAACAUAUGGAUAUGUUUAUAAAGCAAUCUUUUGUUUGUAAUUGCUUUAUAAAAACACAUUCAACUAGUAUUAUGCAAGACACCAAUAGUGCAAAAAUUGUCGGUGAUGUCCCUUAAAUCAUGUUAAUAUUUUGCAUAAUUAUAUAUGUAUGAAUAAUUCGGCAGUAUAUUUUCUCAGUAUUUCCAGAGAGUUAUGAAAUCAUUUAAUUUUAGUUUUACUUGAGUAUCUCGCUGUUAUAAAUCAUGUUACAUACACAUUUUGAAAUAAUACGUUUGUCUUAAACAUUGCUAUAAUUUCAUACCUCAUGUACAACCUAACUCGCCAUUGGUUUAACACUGUUGUGUUGUGCGUAUUGGUCAGUUUUAGUAAAUGUUAUGAAACAUAAAUGCAUGUGUUGUUUUAAUAAAAUUAUAUCAGAAA